UCUAAAUGAUGCAAAACAACAAACUGAAACAACCAUGUGGUUGCAAAUAUUACGAGCUUUUUAACACUGAUAAGA